rnacentral:lncRNA from 1 species
UAGCUGUGUAGAAUUCUUCAGAUUCAGAGUGUCUGAGUCGUCAACCUUCAGACUCUGUGAACUUCCUUUUCCUUAGAGUUAUAACGACUACUUUAUUUGAUUCUACGUUAUUUCUUCUUAGACUUUAUGUGAUGUUAGAUAUUGUCUAUUAGAUCCAUUUUCUGUUAGAGUCCUACAUACUUAGAUAAAUUCGUUAGGGUACCAAUUUGUUUCAUCCUUUGUUAUCAUCAAAACUUAGAGAUGAAUUGUAGACUUAGAAUCUUGUUCUAAC